GAUGUGAAGGUUUGUGGCCGAGUGGGUAAGGCGAUGAAUUUGAAAUUUAUUGGGAUUUUCCCGCGCAGGUUCGAUUCCUGCCGACAUCG